rnacentral:other from 1 species
AAGGUGUCGAGCUCCUGCGAGCUAACUGGGUGAACCGACAAGUUUUUUCAGGGAGCCUGGUUCUUGUUCUUAGUACGAGGAUCCUUCGUUGUUGAGGAAGCCGGAACAGGCAAGUAGGGCACCCACCUUCUGAGAGGUGGGUUCACAAUUGCAACGCAGGAGCUCGACGUUAUG